CAUAAUCAGCCCUUAGCUGUAGGAGGGUCACAGGACCCCACCCCCACAAUUCCUGGCAGCCGCAAGGUAUGCUCCUCCCCACAGUUACCUAGCAACAGCCAGGUAGGCUUGGCCCAGUAUAGAAGGGGCUGCUUGGCCCCUCCUCUGGAGUCCAGACAGAAUACCAACAAAAGGUUUUCUGAUAGCUCAGUUCUGUGUAAUCCUUGUCAUGUUAAGAAGAGAAGUAGAGAAUAAGCUGGUUUAGAGUCCUGAAGACUUAUACAAGGCCGAGAUGAAGGAACUGAGCUCCUUAGUUAAGUGGUGAAAGCUUUCCGUGGUACACAAAGGUGUAAUGGUGGCCUGAGUCCAUAAGAUCCAGCAAUGUGGAAUCAUAAAGGAAACCACAAGAGUAAGAGGUAUAUCUAAUGCUAAGCAUAAAGUUUCCUUAAAUGUCAGGAACACAAAUAAAUGAUUUAGUUUAUCUGCUCCCUUUAAGCAAGUAA